AGCUUAAAGAACAAAUUUUAAGUUUUACCUGCCCUGUGAAUAUUUUUAACGGCUGCGGUACCUUGACCGUACUAAGGUAGCAUAAUCAAUUGGCUUUUAAAUGGAGUCUGGAAUGAAUGGGAAAUUGGAGUUUUACUUUCUUAAAUAAAUUUUAUUGAAUUUACUAUAAAAGUGAAAAAGCUUUUUAAUGAAAAAAGACGAGAAGACCCUUGGAGUUUAAAUUUAUUUUGUUGGGGCGACAUUAAAAAUUUAACUUUUAAAUAUUUAAUUAUCAAUUUUUAAUUAUAAUUUAAAAACUACCCAAGGGAUAACAGCAUAAUUCUUUAUGAGAUUGUGACCUCGAUGUUGGACUAGGGAAAGUAAUGACUAGAAGCUAUUACUUUAUGUUCUGUUCGAACAUAACUUUCCU
rnacentral:rRNA from 1 species